rnacentral:misc_RNA from 1 species
GAUGAAGAACGUAGCGAAAUGCGAUAAGUAAUGUGAAUUGCAGACUUCAGUGAAUCAUCGAAUCUUUGAACGCACAUUGCGCCCGCCAGUAUUCUGGCGGGCAUGCCUGUUCGAGCGUCAUUUCAACCAUCAAGCCCCCGGCUUGCGUUGGGGACCUGCGGCUGCCGCAGGCCCUGAAAAGCAGUGGCGGGCUCGCUGUCACACCGAGCGUAGUAGCAUACAUCUCGCUCUGGGCGUGCUGCGGGUUCCGGCCGUUAAACCACCUUCAUAACCCAAGGUUGACCUCGGAUCAGGUAGGAAGACCCGCUGAACUUAAGCAUAUCAAUAAGCGGAGGA